UUGGCAGGCUGGCAUACCAUUGAUUAUGAGUUGGCGAGUUGCAAUCACUUUCCUCCUAUUACAUGAUAAAACCAGUGAGUGACCUAUACCAUUGAUGAAUCUUCUUCAGUUCAACCAACUCUUCCAACAGCCAGCCAUACGUUUUAAAAAGAUUUCUACUAUUCCAUGAUGUAACUUCUACAAUUUAAAGACCAAACCACCAUAUGGAUGUUGUCAAGCAUGAAAAGAAGAUAAUUUAUUUAGGUGUAUAAAAUGAAACAUGUUAAAGCAGAGUAUGACAGGGAGAAGCUAGGUCCAGGAUCAACUCCAAAAGAUAGCUCCUAGCUUGAUCGGAAUCUGCAAUCAAAGAACACCGUUAGCCUUAACGCGAGAGAUGGUCUCCCACGUGAGAAUCAGUAGAAUGAUCUUGAGAGUCUUAGCAAAGAGAAUGGAUAAGAGUUUUCAGAGUGAGAGAGAUUAACUUACUUACUUUCGGCUGGAACAAGACCCUCCUUUUGUAGGUUGAUUGUUCUGCCCAAGGGGACCUCAUGCCAGCUUUGCACCUUCUAGUCUUGGCAAGCUUAUCCUACCCACCCUGAUGUUUCUUGCAGGGUUAGCCUCGCCUCGCCUCUUUGGAUAUGUUUCAGGUAAUGGGGAUUUCCGUGUCAUCAGUAUGUAUCUGUGGUAGAAGAAAAAAGAGUUUCAGGUGAAGUUAGAAUUGAUGACAACGUUAUCGGAGAAAGGUCUGGUGGCAAGAAGAAAGACUUUCAGGCGUAGAGCGGAAACUGCUGGAGAGGUGGAGGCUUGCAAGCGAUGUAACUGUAAGAAAUCCAAGUUUUUGAGGUUGUAUGUAACUUUGUUGAAGAAGCAACCAGUGAGAGUGUUUUGGUGGAAAACUUGGAGGGGUCGGUGGCGUUGUCGAGGUUGUCAGGAAAUGCAAAGUGAUAGCAUUUCCUGACAACCCUCGACAAUGUCACCGACCUCCUAAUCUGAGCGUGACCCUCUGAAAACAUAAAUGUUUUUCAACUUCACCAUGAAUAGAGAAGAAAGAGACAGUUGGGUUUCUAGCUCCAGUUGUGUUGCAGCCGAAUCAACAGCAAAUUCAACAGCAGUAGUUGUUGAUGCAUGAAUAUGAAGAUUGAAUUUGUGAGGAAUAUGAAGAUUGAAUUUGUGAGGUUCAGCAGCAGCAGUUGUUGAUUCAGCAGAAGUAGCAGUAGUUGUUGAUGUAGAGAUGGAUGGAUGAAUUGGGCACCUGUUUCAUCGGACGAGUUUUGGUUUAAUCGAACCGAAUGGAAUAUUGGUGCUAAUCUGAAUGGAAUGUUGGAUCCUUAUGCAAUCAUCACUUGUGGUUCAGAAAAGCGGUUUAGUGAAAUUGGCUGAAUUUAUGAAAUGUUUUUAGAGCUUUAUUGGAAGAACCGAGACGAGAGGGUUUUUGAACUAAAGUAUAUGGAUACAUCAACACAUCUCCUGGAAAGUAUAAAGGCAGAAUGAAAUCAUACCGGUGGAUGGUUAAAAGGAGAAAAAUUGCGGAUCUCACCUUAGAUAGCUGGAACAAUUUUGUAAAACUUGGAUUUUGUAUAGGCUUCUCUGUAGUUUGUUUGUUGUUUUUGUUCUAUUUGGGGUGUAUUUGUUCUUAUGUUAUGGCUAAUAUAGCAGUUAUCAGAUAGAAGCAUUAGCUCAGGCAAUUAAGGAGAACACUGUAGUGUUCUUUGAGACGGGAUCAGGCAAGACGUUGAUCGCGAUUAUGCUUUUAUGUCACUACGCUUAUCUGCUGAAAAAACCCUCCCCAUGUAUUGAUGUGUUCUUGGUAGUUGGUACCCACUGUUGUAUUGGUUAAACAGCAAGCGGAGUAUGCGAGAAAGCACCUUGAUUUGAAAGUGGAGGAGUAUUGGGGUGAAAAAGGUGUUGAUUUUUGGAAUGCUGCUGAUUUGAAGAAACAACGAUAUCAGAAUCAGCUAUUGGUUAUGACCCCUGACAUUUUAAGGAAUGCAUUGAGGCAUAGAUUCUUAACGUUAGAUAUUAUCAAGGUGUUAAUAUUUGAUGAAUGCCACAACGCAAAGAAAAAUCAUGCGUAUGCUAUCAUCAUGAAGAGCUUUAUUGGAAGAACCGAGACGAGAGGGUUUUUGAACUAAAGUAUAUGGAUACAUCAACACAUCUCCUGGAAAGUAUAAAGGCAGAAUGAAAUCAUACCGGUGGAUGGUUAAAAGGAGAAAAAUUGCGGAUCUCACCUUAGAUAGCUGGAACAAUUUUGUAAAACUUGGAUUUUGUAUAGGCUUCUGUGUAGUUUGUUUUUUGCUUUU
rnacentral:lncRNA from 1 species